ACCAUAUAUACCUACAAGAUUACCUAUGUUUGCGACUCUACAAGUACUGGAAAAAAAUUUGAACUAGAAAUUUAUAGAUCCUGCAUCACGUGAUUCUAUUCCUAAAUGGUUCAUGGCUACACGUCCCGUUUUCAGGAUUAUUCUGUCCAUGCCUUGGCUUUCACCUAGAUGGACAAGAGUCUGUUCUUUAGUGAGACGCCCAGCUGCAAGUUGUUGUUUGACCAGUUGUGAGGUGUCUCAGAGGCACCAAAUGGAUGUUCAUAAUGUUGAUCUAUCUACAUAUCAUGUGGUACACGGCCCAGAAAGAAGCAGUACGAUGGUUGGUCCAAAACUAAGCUCAUUCUUAGCAUGGGAUCACUGCCGAGAUUUCU